rnacentral:rRNA from 1 species
UACGUAGGGGGCAAGCGUUGUCCGGAUUUAUUGGGCGUAAAGAGCGUGUAGGCGGCCAGGGAGGUCCGUUGUGAAAACUCGAGGCUCAACCUCGAGACGCCGAUGGAAACCCCCUGGCUAGAGUCCGGAAGAGGAGAGUGGAAUUCCUGGUGUAGCGGUGAAAUGCGCAGAUAUCAGGAGGAACACCAAUGGCGAAGGCAGCUCGCUGGGACGGUACUGACGCUGAGGCGCGAAAGCGUGGGGAGCAAACAGG